UGACCUCACAUCAGCCGUGAGUACCCACUGAACUAAAGCGUAUAAAAGAGCGGAGAAAAUAGAUUUACCAGCAUUUCCUCGGUAACUGCUUGUGAGAGGAGAGAGCUGAGGUCUGAAAUCUACGGCAGUUUUGCUGAUAGGCCAUGUAGUGUGUGAGUCGAUCAUCACUCCACUCGAAGACCAACACCGAAAAUGGUUAUUACUUGAUUUGCCUCAUAGAAGAUGAGAGGCCCGUGUGGGUGGAGAUUCAGACAUUUGUGACGAUUUACCAAUCUAGCCUCAGAGUCGGGUUGUUUGAGAUUGCAAUCCAAAGAUUUCGGCAAACUCCAUUCUAAGUAUUGCCAAAACUGCGAAAGCAAACCAGCCCCAUAUGAGAAAGUUGAAAAGUUGUUGGAAAAGAAAAUACUCUACGUGAAGAUGGAUGUAAGUUGUGCUUUGUACCCGGACAAUCUAGCUAACUGGAAUGUGGUGUAGGCGCAACUGGUGCGUCUGGAGGUAGGAAUAAGACGUGAUGUGAUGAGGUUCACUUCUCUGCUGUGAUAAAUAUCUCAACAUUGCAAUUCAAUCAAUACUUGACAUCUAUCACUAGCAUAAAUUCAAAUAAGCAGGGGAAAAUCAUUGGUUUUUCUGAACAAUCAAAUGCAGGAUCAUGCUUUUAUGCUUAUCAAUUUAGUUUUCCUGCUCAGUGCAGUAAGUAGUUCAA
rnacentral:ncRNA from 1 species